GCCCCCAUAGCUCAGCGGAUAGAGUGUCUGCCUCCGACGCAGAAGGCCGCAGGUUCGAAUCCUGCUGGGGGCACCA
rnacentral:tRNA from 1 species